rnacentral:rRNA from 1 species
UGGGGAAUAUUGCACAAUGGGGGAAACCCUGAUGCAGCGACGCCGCGUGAGCGAAGAAGGUUUUCGAAUCGUAAAGCUCUGUCCUAUGAGAAGAUAAUGACGGUAUCAUAGGAGGAAGCCCCGGCUAAAUACGUGCCAGCAGCCGCGGUAAUACGUAUGGGGCGAGCGUUGUCCGGAAUUAUUGGGCGUAAAGGGUACGUAGGCGGUCUAUUAAGUCAGGUGUGAAAGCGUGAGGCUUAACCUCAUUAAGCACUUGAAACUGAUAGACUUGAGUGAAGGAGAGGAAAGUGGAAUUCCUAGGGUAGCGGUGAAAUGCGUAGAUAUUAGGAGGAAUACCGGUGGCGAAGGCGACUUUCUGGACUUUUACUGACGCUCAGGUACGAAAGCGUGGGGAGCAAACAGG